rnacentral:rRNA from 1 species
CCUACGGGCGGCAGCAGUAGGGAAUCUUCCACAAUGGGCGAAAGCCUGAUGGAGCAACGCCGCGUGAGUGAAGAAGGUCUUCGGGUCGUAAAACCCUUUUGUUAGAGAAGAAAGUGCGUCAGAGUAACUGUUCACGUUUCGACGGUAUCUAACCAGAAAGCCACGGCUAACUACGUGCCAGCAGCCGCGGUAAUACGUAGGUGGCAAGCGUUGUCCGGAUUGAUUGGGCGUAAGGGGAACGCAGGCGGUCUUUUAGGUCUGAUGUGAAAGCCUUCGGCUUAACCGGAGUAGUGCAUUGGAAACUGGGAGACUUGAGUGCAGAAGAGGAGAGUGGAAUUCCAGGUGUAGCGGUGAAAUGCGUAGAUAUAAGGAAGAACACCAGUGGCGAAAGCGGCUCUCUGGUCGGUAACUGACGCUGAGGUUCGAAAGCGUGGGUAGCAAACAGGAUUAGAUACCCUGGUAGUC